rfam:Gossypium hirsutum cultivar TM-1 chromosome 7, whole genome shotgun sequence
AUCCCGUAAUGAAGGAACCUAUGAAAUAACUCCUUGAAUAUUUCCCACGCCUCAUAUUAGGAUUCAUCAUCCAUUUGCUAGAAAGUGGGGAUCUUAUUCCGCAACU